AGAGGUCCUGCCUGCCCAGUGACUAUGUUUUAACGGCCGCGGUACUCUGACCGUGCAAAGGUAGCGCAAUCACUUGUCUCUUAAAUGGAGACCCGUAUGAAUGGCAAGACGAGGGCUAAACUGUCUCCUCUCCAAAGUCAAUGAAAUUGAUCCCCCCGUGAAGAAGCGGGGAUACACACAUAAGACGAGAAGACCCUGUGGAGCUUAAGACAUCAAGACAGGCCAUAUCAAUAACCCCACACUUUAAAGGCCUAAGCCCAGUGGUUACUGUCAGACUGUCUUCGGUUGGGGCGACCACGGGGUAAAACAAAACCCCCGCGCGGAACGGGGCCACUUACACCUUCCCCUAAAGCCCGGGCGACAGCCCAAACAAGCAGAAUCUCUGACCGACACGAUCCGGCAAAGCCGAUCAACGGACCAAGUUACCCCAGGGAUAACAGCGCAAUCCCCUCCAAGAGCCCAUAUCGAAGAGGGGGUUUACGACCUCGAUGUUGGAUCAGGACAUCCUACCGGCGCAGCCGCUAUUAAGGGUUCGUUUGUUCAACGAUUAAAGUCCUACGUGAUCUAG
rnacentral:rRNA from 1 species